rnacentral:lncRNA from 10 species
AGAAGCGGACUCAAAGGCCGGAGUCUAAGGGCCUACCUAAGGGUAGGGGAGUGGGAAGAAGACCAGGGCCGUCGUUAUUAGGCCACACAGGCCUGGCACUGAGGGAAAAAGGGGAAUUUCCCGAGGGGAGUCCUGUGGGGAUGGGGAAAUCUUUGGAGGAAUCCAGUUAUUCGAGAAGGACUUCCCCACCCCACCUGCCUCCUUCAGCCAUCCCAAGCAGCAGCUAGAACUUCUGUAGUUCUUCCUCUGAGUGCCCCGAGCCUGCUGUCUGCCAGAAAGACUCCUAGACUAGAGGAUUGGACAGUAGGGUCAAAACCCUAACCCUUGGUUGACCACCGGCCUUCCCUAUCAGGACGCCCCAUUACCUCCCUUUUCCUCCUGCUUCCCCUGAAAGAGGAGUCUCAGCAGUUAUUUACAAAGAUUUAUUACAGCACGGGAGGGGUUCAGGCCUGGAGUCAGGGAAGAAGGGGAAAGGGGCAGAGCAGCUGGGGGACAAGGAAAACCUGGCGCCCCCCGCUGUGUGCCCCACCGGGGACAUAAACUAGGCGGCAUUCCUGGCAUCAAAGCACAAAACGCAACAAAGAGGUCUCUGCCAGUCCAUCUUCCAGGCACCCAGGAGGAGCAAGGGUGAUUAAGGGAAGAUUCCCAAAAUGUUGAGGCUAUGGAGAAAAACGCCUUAGUCCUGGACCCUGGUAGAAGCCGGUGAGAGAAGUGGUGACUUGGAAUCCUCCAUAGGAAAGUGGGUAGAAAAGGAUCUAAGGGUACCUCAAGGUUCUCAGGACCUCCUUUCCCCAGAUCUUAGGGUCCUGCCCUGUGGGUCUCCUGUGUCCAGGGGAGAGGAUCUGGGGAGUAGAAUUGUGAAGGGCAAAUCCCUGUUCCCGGUUUUCUGGAUUUUCCAAUGUGGGCUGUCUCACAUCCCACCUCCCGCUGGGUGAAUGGAGGAAUGACUGGCAGGGGUGGGCAUCAGGCAGCAAGUGCCCAGGUUCUCUGGGUAUCAGCCAAAGGUGGGCAAACAAGCAAACACAGACCAGCCUUAGUCUUCUAGAAGUCAGAAGCCGCAGCCCUAGCAGGCGAGGGGAAGAGCACAAAACAGGGUGAGGAUAGAGUGGGUUUCUGGGGAACAGCGAUGUCCCCUCCACUUCCUCCUGGGAGAUGCAGGCUGGGUGCCUAUGUGCCAGGCUCAGAGGGGGAAGGGCGCUGAGGUUCCUCCCCAGGCUCUGAAAGGCAAGCAGAGAGGGACUCAGGGCCUGGCCCCACCCACCAAGAUCCCAGCCCCUCCUCCCCAUUUCACACUCCCAAGCCUUACCACUUAGUGCUGGGUCUUCCACUUGGUCCUCAGAGCCUCCAUCUCUCUCGGACUCAUCCAGAGGGGGUGGGCGCUCCCAGGGCCCUUCCAGACCCUGGCCACAGGUUGUCUUUUGCCCAGCUGGGGAUGGGAAAGAAGAGAUAAGAACACAGGCUCUGCGUAUCCAUCCGGCUGUCCUGGAGUGUGAGCUAAGUGUCUGAUGGCUGAGGUUAAGCUUUCCAGGGGCAUCAUGGAAGCAUGGAGAGAGAACUGGGCUAGAACAGCUCUCCCAGCAACUAGCCAUAUGGCUUACGUAAGUCAGUUAGUACCUUUCUGAAGGAAAUAGAAAGGGGGAAAUUGUGUAGAUUACCUUAAACAAGAUGUAAUAGUGAAUACCCUGCCCAGCCCAGCGCCAGCACCCAGGAGCCACUAGGAGUCGUGGUGGUUUAUAUUGCUCCAUCAUAGGACUAUCAUUUGACCCGGUGCCCUUCUGCAUUUUUUGUUUGUUUGUUUUUUUUUGUUGUUUUGUUUUGGUUUUUUGUUUUUGUUUUUGAGAUGGAGUCUCACUCUGUUGCCCAGGCUGGAGUGCAGUGGUGCGAUCUCAGCUCACUGCAACUUCCACCUCCCAGGUUCAGGGGAUUCUUCUGCCUCAGCCUCCCAAGCAGCUGGGAUUACAGGUGUGUGCCACUGUGCCUGGCUAAUUUUUGUAUUUUUAUUACAGAUGGGGUUUCACCAUGUUGGCUGGACUGGUCUUGAACUCCAGACCUCAAGUGAUCCGCUAGCCUUGGCAUCCCAAAGUGCUGGAAUUACAGGCAUGAGCCACCGCACCCAGCCACCUGCUGCUUUUCCUGAGGGAACAGUCUCCUCUCACCCCUCUUCCACUGUUUUGGAGGGGUCUCAGUGAGGACUGAUUCAGGUCUUCCAGCUGUCUCUUGCCCACAAAGGGACUGAAGCCCAGCAACAGCUUUUGCCCCCAUGGCCAAUCUCUUCACUGCCAGAUAUGCAGGCAGGAGGCCCAAGGCCUUUUGUUUGUGUGGAAGAGCUGACAGCUUCUAGUAGGGGUGGUUGACUCUUCAGUAUUCCCAUAAAUAAUGAGACUAAAAAGGUUAAUGGGCCGGGCUGGUUCUUGAAUUUUAAAUUCUACAUCUAAACACUAGAGGGCACCCUCCCACUCCAUCCUAGGAAGGAAAAAGAGGAGAAACAGACAACAGUCCUGGAGAGGGCAAGUAAAUGAGGCAGCCCUCUGCACCCCAGCAGAGACCACAUCCUAGGUUCAAAAAUGUAGGUGAAAUGCAGGUGACAGGGGUGUUGGACUCUCCUGGUCCUCCAUCCCUGAAUGUCCUCACGCCCCCUUACUGCCAUAGGUGGGAAGUCCUCUUUUGGCUCUAGCCUCAAACCCCAAACGGCCUUGGCCUUAAUUCUCAGGGAAGAGAGGAAUUAUUAGGGAAAACCUGAUUGGGAGAGGGACUGAGCCAAGGAUGGAGGAAACCCAUGUCUCAGGUAGGGCUGAGUUCGGGGCACCCCAUGGAGCGAGAAGACAGGGAGGCCCCUGUGGUGUCACUACAGUUUGCGUGUAUGAGACACUGAACUAGAAGGGGACGUCCUCGUAUACUCAAGGAGGACCCACAGCUAAUCCACAUGUCACAGGCCCCUCAGCUUACCAGACUGCCUGAUGACCUUCAGGACUUCAGCCUGGCUGUCCUCUUCUUCUUCCUCUUCUUCAUCAUCCUCCUCUUCCUCCUCAUCUUCCUCUCUUGGAUAACCCAGCUCCCGAAGCUCCCCCAGCUCAUCCUCCUCCUCUGAGGCCUGGUUCUCAUUCAAAUUGCUGAUAGACUGCAGGUGAGACUCAGCAAUGCGCUGCACAGCUGGCACAGAGGAGACCGAGGAAAGCAAGGGUCAGCUAGACACAGCCCAUGGAUCUGGAGAUAGCCUGUGGCCUAGCCCCCAGCCUCCUUCCCGUAGGCCUGGGGCAGAGAAUACCCCCUCAGGGGCCCAAGUUCAAAGGCCAAAGUUGACAGGUCAGCCUGAUGGGUGUCAGACCAGGGCAGAGGCAGCCAGGGGUAGAUUUGAUCAUGUUUGGCUCUUAAGCUGUCCUAAGAUGCUAGCCCCCAGGCAGCUCCCCCACACCAUAGGGCACUAGGCUGGGCAAGACCAGGCGGGCACAGCAGCAGCUUAACAUUCCCUGGCUGGAGAGCUUGAUUUUCCAAGUACCCAGUACGGGAGACAGUGUCUCCCAGCUUCAAGCCCAGGCAGAAGGCACAGGGCGUAGGAACCAGGGCCUGGGGAUUUGCCACUUUCCAUUUCUUGGGGGUGCCCAGCCUGCUGAGGGCUCACUGCUUACCCUGAUCCUACCUCCCAUGCGAUGCAUAGUCCCCACUCCCUGGCACUGCCCAGUCAUAGAUGCCAAUCCACAUACUCCUGCCCCGGGCUCCAAGGGACAGAACAAUUCCGAGGCUGAGGACAUAAUAGUCUGCAGCCAGUGCAGUCUGUGCCGGGGGAUGCGGCAUGCUCAGAUGCGGCCCCCACAAUCUUGACCCACAUCCCCAGGUUCCCAGCUCCCUCUGCGGUGACCUAGAAAGCAACCCCCCCAGCCUCCAAAGACCUGCUCAGAUAGGGCUGGGAAGGGAACAGUGUGGGCAGCUGGAGACAAGUUUCCAAAAGAUGGAAAGGAGCAAGGGGUUAGAGAAAGGGGCCAAGGCCAGGGGUUCUGGGGGAUGGCAGAGGUUGAGGGGCCACUGAGGAGAGGCUGCAGGAGCUGGCAGGAUCUUAGAACAUAUGCGACACAAAGUUCACAGGCCACAGACAAGAUGCUGAGGAGGGGCUGGGGGUGGGGAAUGGGGAGUUGCUGCAGUUCCUUCUUGGUCUGCCAGUGGCCCCUCCCCUCAGAAGGCCCAGAGGGGUAGGGCCAGGCUGGAAACCUCCGGCACAGUGAGCAGGGUGCUAUGCUCCUGCCAACUCGGGGACAGGCACAGAGGGUGCUUUGUAUGUGCCCGCUGCCCCACCCAGCCCCCAGCUCCCAGCCCAGUACCUCCUGCUGGCUCUGGGCAAGCUAUCCAGGCAAUAAAAGCACAAUAAAUCACCCUACCCUGACCUUGGGGACGCGGCAGAGCUUCAUCUUGAGCCAAGUGUGAGAGCUCCAGCCUUGGAGCACAACCCCUCAAGCUAAGACUUAGUGCUGUGCCCCUCUCUCUAGGGCCCUCGAUUCUUCCCUGACAAGCCCCAACCCUGCCGGGCACCUUCCCUUGCCCACAAAAGGACUGAAGCCUACAAAACAGUGCCCUCCUGGUAGAGAAGGAUCCAUGAGGGCUGUGGGGGGAGGUAAGGCAGGAGAGCAGGUGGCAGCCCAGGCAGCUUCCUUCUCCCCCAGCGGGGGAGGAGAGUUCACUUCGUGAGCCACAGUGACAACAGAAGGUGUGUGCGGUGCUUGCGCUGGUGCCCCGUGAGCCUCCCUCGCUUCCCCCACCUCCCUCAUGCCUCCUGGGCUCUCUGGGGUCUCCCCAUCACUCCUUCCAGGCUGUCUCCUUCUCUGCCCCACUCUGUGGGGCCCCAAACUCCCCCCACCACAAGUCUUCCUUCUUCAGUUGGAAGGUCCCCAGCCUUGCCCCAGACUGGCCACCCCUCUCCUGAUCCCUUUCCUCUUCCCUGCCUCUACUCACCUGGACUCUCCUAAGAUGUGGCCUAAAGGGGCAGUUGAGGGGGUGCACAAUUUUGACCACUGCACGGUGCAUGGUAGCACCCUGGCCCUAACAUCUUCAUCCUGGCCUGUUCGCCCAUGCUUGCAGUCAAGAGCCAGGUCUUCCCCUCACAUCCACCCAGCCUCUCCCUACCCAGCCCAAGGUGGGAGGGAGAGGGAUUUCUUAAAUUCUCUCCUGAGAAGAUGACACUCUGUCCCUCAUGCCUGCUUUGGGGCCCUUCCACACACCCCUCUAGGUGGGGAGGUCCUUCCAGGUGCUGAGCCACACUGCCCACUUGCUGCAGCUCUGACCCUUCAUUUUCCUGUCCUGGGGAAAGCAAAAUAACCCCUUCCCUUCUCUCCUCCCUUCCCAGCCUCUCCUCUCUGUUCCCAACCCUGGCAAGUGGGCUGACAGGUAUACCUGUUGACCUUGGCUGGUGCUGGGAACUUAUUAAACCCUCCCCCGAACCACUUCCCAGCAUACUCUUCCGGUAGCUCUCCCUCCCAACCUCCGCAGGAGCGGAGGGGGCU